rnacentral:lncRNA from 1 species
AUAGGACAAAUGGAAAUACAGAGGCAAGAGGAUCUGGCCAGGGUCACUGGUGGAAACAGGAGCAGAAUCCAGAACCAAAGAGAUCCUUCUUCCAACGGGAAAGAAGGGUAGGCAUUCUGGAACCCAUGGAGGACGGGCAGCUGGAUACAGGAUUCAGCUCUGGAGAUGCUGUGGGGAAGGAUUAAUCACAAGAGACAGUCAUCAAAUGAUUGCCCCUGUCUUCCUGAUGCAAGAUCCCAGCUGCUGCUUCUGGGAUCGCAUCUCUAAGUUUUCUAUAAGAGCUGGAGCCUUGCCUUUUCUUUCUCUGUAUUGCACCACGUGCAGGAAGAGACACUAGGGGUAGCAACAAACAAGCAGAGUACGGUAACAGAAUUCAUCAGCUAAUACGGAGGUUCGUGCUACCACAGCUAAAUUGCUUUCAUUACCUAGGCACCUGCACCCCUCACUGCAGUGUGGACAGGAUCUUUAGAAAGUAAAACAAAAUAAAAGAGAAAGUGGGACUUUGAUGGGUUUGCA